rfam:Oryza barthii chromosome 6, whole genome shotgun sequence.
UUUAAAUACAACCGUGAGUUUCCGUGUCCAACUUUAAUCCGUCCAUCUUAUUUCAUAUUUUUUAUAAUUAAUAUUUUUAUUAUUAUGAGAUGAUAAAACGUAAAUAGUACUUUAUGCAUCACUUAUGUUUUUAAAUUAAAUUAAAUAAGACAGACGAUUAAAGUUGGACACGGAAAAUCAUGGUGCACUUAAA